rnacentral:sRNA from 1 species
GGGAUAGGAGUGGAAAGCCCGCAGCACAGCGAGGACUUGGAGCGGAUAGCCCGACCCGUA